rnacentral:rRNA from 1 species
GACGAACGCUGGCGGCGUGCUUAACACAUGCGAGUCGAACGGAAAGGCCUGCUUUCCCUUGUGGAUUGCGGGUACUCGAGUGGCGAACGGGUGAGUAACACGUGAGUGAUCUGCCCCCAACUUGGGUAUAAGCCUGGGAAACUGGGUCUAAUUCCCGAUAGGACUGCAGGGUGGUGCCUGUGGUGGAAAACGAUUUUCUAGUGGUUGGGGAUGAGCUCGCGGCCUAUCAGCUUGUUGGUGGGGUAAUGGCCUACCAAGGCGGCGACGGGUAGCCGGCCUGAGAGGGUGGACGGCCACAUUGGGACUGAGAUACGGCCCAGACUCCUACGGGAGGCAGCAGUGGGGAAUAUUGCACAAUGGGCGGAAGCCCGAUGCAGCGACGCCGCGUGGGGGAUGACGGCCUUCGGGUUGUAAACUCCUUUCGACCGCGAGGAAGCCACCUGGUUGGAAGGGUGGUGACGGUAGUGGUAGAAGAAGCACCGGCUAACUACGUG